GAGCUAACGCGUUAAGUAGACCGCCUGGGGAGUACGGUCGCAAGAUUAAAACUCAAAUGAAUUGACGGGGGCCCGCACAAGCGGUGGAGCAUGUGGUUUAAUUCGAUGCAACGCGAAGAACCUUACCUACUCUUGACAUCCAGAGAAGCCAGCGGAGACGCAGGUGUGCCUUCGGGAGCUCUGAGACAGGUGCUGCAUGGCUGUCGUCAGCUCGUGUUGUGAAA
rnacentral:rRNA from 1 species